GAUGAACGCUAGCUACAGGCUUAACACAUGCAAGUCGAGGGGAAACGACAUCGAAAGCUUGCUUUUGAUGGGCGUCGACCGGCGCACGGGUGAGUAACGCGUAUCCAACCUGUCCACCACUUGGGGAUAACCUUGCGAAAGUAAGACUAAUACCCAAUGACGUCUCUAGAAGACAUCUGAAAGAGAUUAAAGAUUUAUCGGUGAUGGAUGGGGAUGCGUCUGAUUAGCUUGUUGGCGGGGUAACGGCCCACCAAGGCUACGAUCAGUAGGGGUUCUGAGAGGAAGGUCCCCCACAUUGGAACUGAGACACGGUCCAAACUCCUACGGGAGGCAGCAGUGAGGAAUAUUGGUCAAUGGACGAGAGUCUGAACCAGCCAAGUAGCGUGCAAGAUGACGGCCCUAUGGGUUGUAAACUGCGUUUAUAAGGGAAUAAAGUGAGCCUCGUGAGGCUUUUUGCAUGUACCUUAUGAAUAAGGACCGGCUAAUUCCGUGCCAGCCGCCGCGGUAA
rnacentral:rRNA from 1 species